CAGGGAAGAGAGAACUCCUGAUCUUAAUCCUGAAAAAGGAGCAGGAAUUUUCCAAGUAGACAAGGAGCGGAAGGGCAUUCCAAGCAGAGAAACAUCAUGAGUAAGGAGACAAAGGCCUGACGAAGAGAGGUGCCCCUGAGGAGUUGCAGAAGGGACACAUCAAGAGGAGAGCUUGAAGCCUUUGACAGAUUGCAAAGCUUGAGCAACGAGCAAGAAGGAGAAGAUAAUGAUGAGGAAGAGUUUCCCUUUUGGGAAACACAGAGAAGAAGGGAGUCAGCCAUUUCUCCAUUACCAUUAAACUUUAUGGGGAGGACAGGAAGGAAAUAGAUCUCAUCUGCAGACGUCAUCACUGCAUAUCUGCCAGCUGACAACUGUUCCUGGCACGUAGUAUGUUCUCAAUGAAUAUUUUUGCUGAAGGAAUAUCCAAUUAAAGAGACGAGGACACACAGCAACAGGGAUGGGUCUGAAAGGUAUAGUGCCUGGUGAAUAAAAUAUGCAAGGAACAGAAUGGGAUCUAUAACAAAAUUCCAUUUAUGUAGAUGAGAAAUACAGGCAUGAGAGGCAUUAAUACAUUUUGUAAGGCAUUAAAAUCAUUGACUAGGUUGAGGAAGGCAAGGGAGUGAGGUGUUGGAACAAAAGCAACAACAUGCAUAAAGCAAGCAAACGAGAAAAAAGUUGCAGUGGACCAGUUACAACUGUAGCCAUGAACUGAGACACAGGAAAAAAGAAGAGGGGAAAUUAGAGGUCCCCGACCGAC
rnacentral:lncRNA from 1 species